GAUGAACGCUGGCGGCGUGCCUAAUACAUGCAAGUCGAGCGAACGGACGAGAAUCUUGCUUCUCUGAUGUUAGCGGCGGACGGGUGAGUAACACGUGGAUAACCUACCUAUAAGACUGGGAUACCUUCGGGAAACCGGAGCUAAUACCGGAUAAUAUUUUGAACCGCAUGGUUCAAAAGUGAAAGACGUUCUUGCUGUCACUUAUAGAUGGAUCCGCGCUGCAUUAGCUAGUUGGUAAGGUAACGGCUUACCAAGGCAACGAUGCAUAGCCGACCUGAGAGGGUGAUCGGCCACACUGGAACUGAGACACGGUCCAGACUCCUACGGGAGGCAGCAGUAGGGAAUCUUCCGCAAUGGGCGAAAGCCUGACGGAGCAACGCCGCGUGAGCGAUGAAGGUCUUCGGAUCGUAAAACUCUGUUAUUAGGGAAGAACAUAUGUGUAAGUAACUGUGCACAUCUUGACGGUACCUAAUCAGAAAGCCACGGCUAACUACGUG
rnacentral:rRNA from 1 species